UACGUAGGCAACGAGCGUUGUUCGGAGUUACUGGGCGUAAAGCGUGCGUAGGCGGUGCCAUAAGUCUGUUGUGAAAUCUCCCGGCUUAACUGGGAGGGUGCGGUGGAAACUGUGGUGCUGGAGUGUGGGAGAGGUAGGCGGAAUUCCUGGUGUAGCGGUGAAAUGCGUAGAUAUCAGGAGGACACCUGUGGUGUAGACGGCUUACUGGGACCAUGACUGACGCUGAGGCACGAAAGCGUGGGGAGC
rnacentral:rRNA from 1 species